AGGGCCGUGGUGUAGCGGAAGCACUCGAGGUCGUGGUCCUCGCAGCGCCGGUUCGACCCCGGCCGGUCCUC
rnacentral:tRNA from 1 species